rnacentral:rRNA from 1 species
CCCUUAGAUGUCCUGGGCCGCACGCGCGCUACACUGAGUGUCUGAGAUACGAGUCUGCCUGGUCCGGCAAGGUCUAGGUAAUCGCUAAAAGACACAUCAUGCUUGGGAUAGAUUAUUGCAAAUAUUAAUCUUGAACGAGGAAUUCCUAGUAAGCGCAAGUCAACAGCUUGCGUUGAUUACGUCCCUGCCCUUUGUACACACCGCCCGUCGCUACUACUGAUUGGAUGUUUAAGCGAGGUUCUCGAACUGCUAGCGACUUAGCUUCGGUGAGGUCGCAGUGUGGGAAGUGAUCCUAGCUUUGGUGUCUAGAGGAAGUAAAAGUCGUAACA